GCUCGGAUAGGCAGAAAGGUCACGCACACGUUGCCUGGCACAUAGGAGAGAGAUGACUAUUAGUGUCUUCACGUGUGUGUGUGUGCGGGGGGGGGGGGGGGUCACCUCACUCCAACCCCCCUCCCUUUGUGUCAAUAUUGGAUCAGAGCAACGCACCGUGCGACAGGUGUCUGUGCGCGCCCCGAGGAGUUUCUCUGCUUUUCAUCCAUCUUGAUGGGAGGAGGGCGAGAGAGAGAGAGAGAGAAAUGGGGGUGGGGGUUGGGGGUGUAGAAGUAUAAAAGCUUAUUCCUGUUCCUGACAAGAGUUCAGUGCGCGCACAAGGUGAUGAGGCCAAACAAAGCCGAGCGCUGCGUCGCGCUCUUCCUUAUUUCCUCUUCUCCUUUUUUGAAAGGUCCGGCGCGGCGCGCAAAUGACGCGCCAGCUGUUGGGAGAGCAACCGUGCGCAAUUUGGAGUGCAAGACUUUUUUUUUUCUUUUCCCUACGCUCGUCCGUAUUUGCUUCACGUUGAGCCCCACGUACAAUACCUGAAGGUGACGUUUUGUUCGUUCGGCUCGCGUUACGCAGUUACGGGUUGACGACUGGAAGACGUCAAGUUUGCUGUUUGCUGCGCCUCAGUGAUGUUGGAGUCCACCCCCCCCCCUUCAGAAUAAAACCUCACUUCAAUUUAAGAGCUUCACAACAAGCUGCUGCGUGAACCUCAGGAGAAGUGGAUGGUAAUUUUUGCAUGAAGCCCAACGAAAACAGCUGUCAAACUUGUUCUACUUAGUGUGCGAGCACAGAAGAACGCCAGCAAAUUUGCAUGUGUACACAUUCGACGAGGUUCAAAUAAAGAAAAGGAAAACUAAAAAUGUAUUUUAUUGACAGAA